GAGAACCUUCGAUUAAGGUUCGACUCGAGCGAAAGAACGUUGCCAACGGUAACGGCCCGUAGGGUGAGGAGUGAAGCGACGAAUG
rnacentral:sRNA from 1 species